GACGAACGCUGGCGGCGUGCUUAACACAUGCAAGUCGAGCGGUAAGGCCCUUUCGGGGGUACACGAGCGGCGAACGGGUGAGUAACACGUGGGUGACCUGCCCUCAGCUCUGGGAUAAGCCUGGGAAGCCGGGUCUAAUACCGGAUAUGACUCCAUGACGCAUGUUGUGGGGUGGAAAGCCUUGUGCGGCUGAGGAUGGGCCCGCGGCCUAUCAGCUUGUUGGUGGGGUGAUGGCCUACCAAGGCGACGACGGGUAGCCGGCCUGAGAGGGCGACCGGCCACACUGGGACUGAGACACGGCCCAGACUCCUACGGGAGGCAGCAGUGGGGAAUCUUGCGCAAUGGGCGAAAGCCUGACGCAGCGACGCCGCGUGAGGGAUGACGGCCU
rnacentral:rRNA from 1 species